GACGAACCGGACAAACGUUGUUCGGAAUUACUGGGCGUAAAGCGCACGUAGGCGGCUUUUUAAGUCAGAGGUGAAAGCCCGGGGCUCAACUCCGGAAUUGCCUUUAAGACUGCAUCGCUAGAAUUGUGGAGAGGUAAGUGGAAUUCCGAGUGUAGAGGUGAAAUUCGUAGAUAUUCGGAAGAACACCAGUGGCGAAGGCGGCUCACUGGCCCGAUACUGACGCUGAGGCACGAAAGCGUGGGGAGCAAACAGG
rnacentral:rRNA from 1 species